rnacentral:misc_RNA from 1 species
CUUCACCACGUCUUUAAUUGCAGCAAUCAAUGGGAGGUGGCCACAGCUCUGAUCUCAUUCUUUUGUGCGAUCGCACUGAUUGGCGUCAUGGCUGCUAAUAUUGAAAGAAUUGAGGAAGACUGGUAUUGCCUCUAUCGGUUUGUCCGCAGAGACCACUGCACAGUCCAACACGCUCUCGAUGGCGUAAUACUUUUCGGUGGGUGUUUGGCAUGUGUUAUCAACGGAGCCCUGAGCUUCAUUUCUUGCUACUGUUACAACUGAGACCACCAAAACCGGUAUACAAUUUAAAACACCAACAUGCCAAUUUUUUUUUUUUUAAAGAAAACAAUGGAGCCAAAUGAUUCAACAUAAACUAUUUUUCGUUAACGUACGGAUUCCCACGAAAGGUUCUUUUUAUCACAGUGUUUGUACCCGUAACACCUGUCAUCUGGGUUGCAUGGAUUGUCAUAAUACAUCAUACACAAUUACCAAAAGAAAUUCAUUUUCCCUCUUAAAUAAGCUACACCCAGCUGAAAGAAAAUUGUAAUUAAUACCUCAAAAUGUCUUCUGCUGCAAGAUCGACUAGUACAUAAGACUUCCUUUCAUCGAGGAAAACUAAUUUCGAAUUGCUAUCGAAACACGACGUCCAACUUAAAAUGAAAGCAUUUGGCGUCACCGUAAUAAUCAAAUAUUAAAAACGCUAACUAGAAAACGGGGCCAAGGAUAACAAGCAACAAGGGAGAGCGAAAGGAAAUUUGGCAUUAUUUGCGGAGAAGAAGAAAGGCGCAUUGCACUUUUCGUAAAGGACAAAAAUUACACUGCACUGUACAAACAACAGCUACGUGCGCAAAUGCAAACACCUUAAAGCCCUUAGCAUAAAUAUUUUGCAAUCAAAGCAAUUAGUUUUUCUUCAGACAAAACGAUGACAUCUCGCUUCGAAAAGAAACACUUUUGUUGAUCGGCGUGUGGGACGUGAAUUACAUCAUCCUACCAUAUCUUAUAGAUUACGAUGGCUCGAGAAUUUUCGAAAAAGUUGUCGACCCGUUAAAUUAGAUUUCGAUAAACGAGUACGCAUUCAAGUGAAUCACUACGCCUAACGGAAUCCAAUGCGAAAAUGCCAGUAUGCAUACACGUCAGAAAACCGCAUCCUUUCUCUAUUCAACGCGUGUUGUAGUAGACAUUUGGUUUCCGUUACGACAAAGAUUACAAUACGCGUAAUGUCAUUGUGCCAGUCGACGGUGGAAAAAGAUGUCGAUUCCACUACGCAUCUGUUCGGCUUGUAACCUCAUUUUGGCCCUCAUCGUUCUACUCGUACAGUCUAUGAUACUAAGCAACUACAAAAACCUACAAGUUAAGACUUACUCUCAGUACACCGCGGUGGGAAUAUGGACUGCCUUGCUGCUGGCAUGUAACGGGGCCAGCAUGUUGCUCUACUUGAAGCGCAAGUUUUUGUGCAAACCCCAACAAAUGUUCGCAUGCUUUACACAAACAUUUUGCUUCACGACGCGAAAACGAAACUGUCCUUUCUUUCUCUCUCCCUAAAAUAAUAAGAAUAGGUACAUGGUUAGUCUUUUCCUCUGCAUUGCAACGCUCUUGGCCGGCAUUUUUACUAUCGGCAUUGCGGCUGGAACUUUCUACGGCCUUUUAUCGGAAUCUCCGGCACCUCAGUCGGCCUUCAAAUUGUCUCAACUAGGUUAUUCUUUUUGCAUUUCUUCCAAAACAGAUGAAUUUACUUCUUUGAAAGCAUUGGAGGGCACCCUAUUCGGAUGUGGUCUUGCAUCGAUAUUCGUUAAUUCCCUAUCUAUAAUGUUUCUACAUUUAGAAAAGCUCAUGUUGCGCGAAGAAACUGUUUCGCCCGGUUCGCUUCCAACUCGAAAUUUCAACAGAUAUUGAAAAAGAAAAAAAGAAUAAAUCUAAUUAUUUCCAUCACUUUAAUUUGUGCGCAUCUUUGCCUACUUUAUGAAAAUAUAAAGAUGGGCACGAAACGUU